rnacentral:tRNA from 1 species
UAGCUCAAUUGGAUAGAGCGCCAGUCUUCGGAACUGGAUGUUGCAGGUUCAAUUCCUGC